UCACGGGGGCGAGCACACAUGAUUCUCACGAACGCGCAAGGGAUUACAAGGAAAGUUUGAGCUGUGAGGAUACACGUCUGUUUUUGUUCGUUGUUGGUAGUUUGCUUUAUCGACUGUAUUUUUGUACCUGUUGUUAUUUUUGUAAGGACAAAAGUCGUGUGCCUGAAGGUGACCAGCAAGCAAAUAUUUCUCUCAGCAGAUCCAGCUAGCUAAACUACUUCCUCAGCUUGUGAAUCUGACAUCAAUCACCAUGACUUCUAUUCCCAUGACAGCAACAGAGAUGAGACCUACAUCGCUUCCCAGUCAUACGGACUCCUCUGUCAUUGGAAUUGUCAUCGUACUUGUUCUACUGACGCUAGCUGGCCUGGGUUUCCUUCUGUACCGGUACUUGUGCCACAACAAGGGUGCCUACAGAACCACAGGAGAACCUGCCCCGGGGGAGGACUGUGAUCUGGCCCACGGUGACAUCGUAACUGAUGAAAAGAAGGAGUACUUCAUUUGAACUUGAUGACGAGGAGGAAUGUGAGAACUGUGGGUGGGUGUUUAACAAAAUGUUCUCUGCCAAACUGACAGGAAAUGACAAUCUUUGAUGGACAUCUACCAUAUGUCUGCAGAAUUGAAGACCUACAUAGAUUUUACCCAAGAGAACACACUAUCACGUAUAAGCACAUAAGCUGGGCAAGCGAUGAGAUUAAUUAGUAACAGUGUGUGCACACUGAUGGUUUUACAAUUUAACAGUUGUGUGUAAAGUAAGAGAACUGUUUUAACACUGGUGGAUGGAGGACUUCAUGAGAUUCUUGUGGGGGAAUGUCUAAGAUGGCGUCAUAUAAUUGUUAUCAAUCUGCUCCCCAUGUGUCAACUCUGAAGGGCUUUCAUUUUCUGAUUGUAUUGGUAAAAUAUAUAUAUAUAUAUAUAUAUAUACAGUGGGGAGAACAAGUAUUUGAUAACCUGCAAAAUCAGCAGUGUUUCCUACUUACAAAGCAUGUAGAGGUCUGUAAUUUCUAUCAUAGGUACACUUCAACUGUGAGGUUGGAGCCUGUUUGAUUGUGUGGACAGGUGUAUUUUAUACAGGUAACGAGUUCAAACAGGUGCAGUUAAUACAGGUAAUGAGUGGAGAACAGGAGGGCUUCUUAAAGAAAAACUAACAGGUCUGUGAGAGCCAGAAUUCUUACUGGUUGGUAGGUGAUCAAAUACUUACGUCAUGCAAUAAAAUGCUAAUUAAUUACUUUAAAAUCAUACAAUGUGAUUUUCUGGAUUUUUGUUUUAGAUUCCAUCUCUCAGUUGAAGUGUACCUAUGAUAGAAAUUACAGACCUCUACAUGCUUUGUAAGUAGGAAACACUGUCGAAUAUGCAGGUUAUCAAAUACUUGUUCUCCCCACUGUAUAUAUUUUCCUGGGGGCUAAAUGGGAAAUUGUAUUUCUUGAUCAGUAGAAGGCACUGAUUUUUUUUUUUUUCUCAUGCCAUUAUACAUAAUUUACCAGUUCAAAACUGGGCAGCUUAACGGGAAAUGUUGUUUUGUAUCUGUUACUAUUACCAAAUACACCAUCUUGUUUGUAUGGUCUUACUGAAGUAUCUGCCAAAGGCAGUAAGUGGCCUGAAAGACCUCAAUUUGAGACUGCAGGUCUGACAUGGCAAUAAAGCUUGUUAGUUUUUAAUCA